AAGACAGCAGCUGAGGCAGUGCAGGGUGAUUGAGAAAGUACACCAGUAACAAGCUGGGUAAAAGAUACAUUGAGAAAUGCUACUGAAAUGCCAAGGUGAGAUAGCUUGAGACUACAGCUCUGGGACAGACACCUACAAACAGGCAAAGAUGGAAUUGCUGUGUUCCUAUUGAUUUACUCCUGAGACUGCCUGGAGUGAAACAGAAUCUCAAAGAUGUUACUCAGUCACCGGUGGGAAGAGGAAGUGGUUCAUGAAAUCAUGAAAGGGAGGGGAGUUGGUCUACGAGACAAAGAAAAAAAAUGAAGAAAAGAAACAA